CAUUCUUUAUCAUACUCAUUCUAUCCCAAAGCAUAUAACCCUAAUGUUCUUCAUUUCCGCCGUUGCAUCCUCAUCUGCGGCCACUUCAUCUUCAACACGCGUACUCCAUCCUCAUCCGCGUCCAUCUCCACCUUCACGUAGCCUUCAAUCCUCGAACACCCACCUGCCAUCUCUAUAUCUCCAAACCACAGCAACCUUCAUCUGCCAUAUCCAUGCCUCUAUUUCUUCAACCUUCGACUUCAUUUCACAUUCUAAAUACCCUUCAAAACCAUUUUUCAGUGUUCAAUUGUUACAUUCUGUUCCUUUUUAAUCGCUUAUCUGUUUAAGCAAACUGUGAAACUGUGCUAUUAUAAAAUAGUGGUUUGUGUACUUUUCUGAUGCGUGAUUGUGCUGAGGAAUUUGUAAAAGGUUUUGGAUCUACAUGUUUAGUAGCAGAUACAAAAGUCAAAGUACUUCGUUCAUAUUUGUGAAAGUGUUUCAUGACUGGAGCAUCAAGCAUGUCACAAAUACAAUCUUGUUUGUAAUUUUUCAACUUGGAUAUCCAACAUAGAAUUGUCUCUUGACACUUUGCCUAAGAAUCUGACACACAUUCCUCAAGUACCUUGAUAACAUUUAUGUCUAAACCAUUUUUUUUUUGAGUCAGCUCCAUGUUGGUGAUUGGGAUCGCGGGUAAGCACGAGUUGAUGAUCACUCCUACAACUUUAAUACAUUAAUCACAUAAUUUAUUCUCUUUGAUUUAGAACUUCUUGUUCAUAGGGCUGGCAGAUUUACCAUGAUGCAUAUUUCAAGAUUUUGAAAAUCUGUGGACCCAACAAUGGAUAUUUUUUUCCUGUUUUUGCUGCCAUGGUGACUACAACAACAAUUAUAUGCAGGUUCUGUCUUUAUGGUUGCUUUGCAUUUGUCUUAUUUGACUCUAGUACAUAUUUUUGGUGAUAGGGAGAGGUAAAGGUUUGAAGACUUUUUUGGAUGUGUAUUUAAUUGGUGAACUAAUUUUUUUAAGUUGUUGCUCUCUUUCCUGCUGAUGUUUAGUGUCUUGAAUGCAAGGUUAGUGACCUUAUAAACUGCGGUGUGUUUAUAUAUUUACGCCAGAUAUCUUUAAUUCCAUUGAGGGUGUUUCUUCUUAGUGGAAAGACAGAGGCGAGUGAAAUUUCUUAGGCCACAUUCAUUAUUAAAGAUAUAUCCAGUUUGUAUUUCAUUUUAAAAUGUGAAAAUCAUCAUCUAUGUGAAUAAAAGGAAUUGUAAAUAACUGGAGUUUGUCCUUCUGUAUAUUAACUAAUGUAAUUGAUUUGUCAUUUUAUUUGGCAGCUAAGUUAAGGCGUCUCUCCAGCUUUGAAGCAAUGGUGCCAGACACAAGGUUUGAUGUUUUCUGUUUUUCAAAAUUUAGUUGAUUAGAACUUUCUGAAAUUUAACUCUCAUCAUUAGUAAUAUCAACAAGAUUAAUGAAUGCAAUGAAUUUAAGCUUAAGUUCUCAUCAACUAUCUAAACAAUUUGCAUAUUUAUAACUAUGUAUGCAUAUACACUUAUUUUCUACAUUGACUUUUAGUAUAACAUUUUUAAAACUGAAAAAUAAUUUUAAAAACUUAUAUGCUUGUCAACAACACCUGAGUUUCUCAUAUCUAAAUCAUGUCAUCGGAGUUUCUCAUAUCUAAAUAUAUGAUUUUUAAUCAUGGAAUAGUAUGGCCUGUUUUGAAAAUUUUCUUUGUAAAUGGACUAUACCUGCAGUAUUUUGAUAAGGACAAUAAUGGGUGAGUACAAGCAUGUAGUAUUUAAUAUGUGAGAUGUCAUAUGUGAGUGUACAUGCCUAUAAGAAAAUAUUAUACAGAGUAAAGACCUUUACCCAUAUUAUAUAUUAUAUGUGAUUGUACAUCACACCAUGAUCUUCACUUUAAUAUAAUAUAUAAUAUAUAUAUAUAUAUAUAUAUAUAUAUAUAUAUAUAUAUAUAUAUAUAUAUAUAUAUAUAUAUAUAUAAAUAAAAGAGUUCUUCUAUUUUCACUUGGUACAUUAUAGACAUAUACAUGCCACAACCUUGUCAUUCAGUGAACAUGAAGUUGAGAACUAUCAGUAUGUUUGAAAAUGAAGUAGGUGCACAAUCAGUGUGUGUUUUUCCUCUUGCGGGCUAGUGUUUAUGUUUGGAAGAAUGCAUUUUGGUAAGUUACAUGGUGCUUAUUUAUUCUAGGAAGAUAUUGAAAUUUUUGUAUUUUUAUGCGUACCAAAUUUGGUUUUCUUUAACUUUUAGUGCUGCCAAUCACCAGUGGGACGGUGAGCAUUUUACCGAAUUCUGUUUUUCUUUGAUAUCAGUUUCUAAAUACUUUUCAUAUUUAUCAUCACAGCCUGCUUUUGUAGAAUCUUAUUUAUUGUCAGCAAAUGUGAUUUUGGUGUUGUCUACCGAAGCUACAACUCAUCUUCUCCUGGAUUGCGUGUUGGUAUUUCAAGUGUGGGAAACUGGUUGAAUAUUUUUGUAUGGUUUCACUUGUUUUGUUAUUGUUGUAAUAGUCCCCACCGUGUGUAAACUACGCUUGUGUGUAUCCUAGAUUAAUACUUUUGUAUUCAAUGGUUCAUUUUGAAGAAUAUAUAUACGUAUUCUAGCUAUUUUGUGCAAUAAAAUUACUGUUUACUGGUUAGAAAAAUAUGAAUGGUAUGUGAGAUGUUGGAAAAAUAUGAAAAAUAAAAUACAAA